UACGUAGGCAGCGAGCGUUGCUCGGAAUCACUGGGCGUAAAGGGUGCGUAGGCGGGUCUUUAAGUCAGGGGUGAAAUCCUGGAGCUCAACUCCAGAACUGCCUUUGAUACUGGUGAGCUUGAGUCCGGAAGAGGUGAGUGGAACUGCGAGUGUAGAGGUGAAAUUCGUAGAUAUUCGCAAGAACACCAGUGGCGAAGGCGGCUCACUGGUCCGGUACUGACGCUGAGGUGCGAAAGCGUGGGGAGCAAACAGG
rnacentral:rRNA from 1 species